UACAGAGGUCUCAAGCGUUGUUCGGAUUCAUUGGGCGUAAAGGGUGUGUAGGUGGCGCGCUAAGUCAGGUGUGAAAUUUCGGAGCUUAACUCCGAAACUGCAUUUGAUACUGGCGUGCUUGAGGACUGGAGAGGAGACUGGAAUUCACGGUGUAGCAGUGAAAUGCGUAGAUAUCGUGAGGAAGACCAGUGGCGAAGGCGGGUCUCUGGACAGUUCCUGACACUGAGGCACGAAGGCCAGGGGAGCAAACGGG
rnacentral:rRNA from 1 species